rnacentral:lncRNA from 1 species
AAAUCUGACUUCAAACUCAUUAACGAUAUGAUCUCAAAGUAGUGGUUCUCAAAUUUGGGUGUGGAUAAAUGUUACUUGGAGAAUUAAAGUACAAAUUCCAGAUUCUUAGCCCCACCUGCCCUGAGAUUCUCGCUCAAGGAAUGGGUGAGGCCUUGGGUACUCCACGUUUAAACAAGCAUGGUGAUUCUAAAGCUGUUCAUCCAAGGAUGUACUUUAAGAAAUACCGUCAGAGGUGGAGCUACCAGAACCUUAUACGGAGUGGUAAAUUAAGCUAUGCAACUUGA